rfam:Homo sapiens chromosome 7, GRCh38 reference primary assembly.
GCUGGGCGUGGUGGCUCAUGCCUGUAAUCCCAACACUUUGGGAGGCUGAGGUGGGUGGAUCACCUGAGGUCAGGAGUUUGAGACCAGCCUGGCCAACAUGGUGAAACCCCGUCUCUA